GACGAACGCUGGCGGCGUGCUUAACACAUGCAAGUCGAACGGAAAGGCCCUGCUUUUGUGGGGUGCUCGAGUGGCGAACGGGUGAGUAACACGUGAGUAACCUGCCCUUGACUUUGGGAUAACUUCAGGAAACUGGGGCUAAUACCGGAUAGGAGCUCCUGCUGCAUGGUGGGGGGUGGAAAGUUUCGGCGGUUGGGGAUGGACUCGCGGCUUAUCAGCUUGUUGGUGGGGUAGUGGCUUACCAAGGCUUUGACGGGUAGCCGGCCUGUGAGGGUGACCGGCCACAAUGGGACUGAGAUACGGCCCAGACUCCUACGGUAGGCAGCAGUGGGGAAUAUUGCACAAUGGGCGGAAGCCUGAUGCAGCAACGCCGCGUGCGGGAUGACGGCCUUCGGGUUGUAAACCGCUUUCGCCUGUGACGAAGCGUGAGUGACGGUAAUGGGUAAAGAAGCACCGGCUAACUACGUG
rnacentral:rRNA from 1 species